rnacentral:misc_RNA from 1 species
AUCUCUUUUUUUUUUGGGCGGGUGCUUGUGUUUUUUGAUUUAAAUGGAAGUAUAGAGGGGGCAUUUAAGUUGCAUGUGGCAAUCACCUUCCUUGCCAGGAAACAUUUUGAAUGAUUUCUCUGGUUGCCAUAAUCACUGCAUUCUAUCUCUUAAUCAUAAUUUUACUUUUAGUGUCUUAUAAUUUGUACUUACUAACAUACAUAAGAAGUUGAUGGCUUUGAUCAAGUGUUUAGUUCUGUAUUAGCA